GACGAACGCUGGCGGCGUACCUAAUACAUGCAAGUAGAACGCUGAAGGAGGAGCUUGCUUCUCUGGAUGAGUUGCGAACGGGUGAGUAACGCGUAGGUAACCUGCCUGGUAGCGGGGGAUAACUAUUUGAAACGAUAGCUAAUACCGCAUAAUAGUAGAUGUCGCAUGACAUUUGCUUAAAAGGUGCAAUUGCAUCACUACCAGAUUGACCUGCGUUGUAUUAGCUAGUUGGUGAGGUAACGGCUCACCAAGGCAACGAUACAUAGCCGACCUGCGAGGGUGAUCGGCCACACUGGGACUGAGACACGGCCCAGACUCCUACGGGAGGCAGCAGUAGGGAAUCUUCGGCAAUGGACGGAAGUCUGACCGAGCAACGCCGCGUGAGUGAAGAAGGUUUUCGGAUCGUAAAGCUCUGUUGUAAGAGAAGAACGAGUGUGAGAGUGGAAAGUUCACACUGUGACGGUAUCUUACCAGAAAGGGACGGCUAACUACGUG
rnacentral:rRNA from 1 species